rnacentral:rRNA from 1 species
GAUGAACGCUGGCGGCGUGCCUAAUACAUGCAAGUCGAGCGAACAGACGAGGAGCUUGCUCCUCUGACGGUAGCGGCGGACGGGUGAGUAACACGUGGAUAACCUACCUAUAAGACUGGGAUAACUUCGGGAAACCGGAGCUAAUACCGGAUACUUUAUUGAACCGCAUGGUUCAAUAGUGAAAGACGGUUUUGCUGUCACUUAUAGAUGGAUCCGCGCCGCAUUAGCUAGUUGGUAAGGUAACGGCUUACCAAGGCAACGAUGCGUAGCCGACCUGAGAGGGUGAUCGGCCACACUGGGACUGAGACACGGUCCAGACUCCUACGGGAGGCAGCAGUAGGGAAGCUUCCGCAAUGGGCGAAAGCCUGACGGAGCAACGCCGCGUGAGUGAUGAAGGUCUUCGGAUCGUAAAACUCUGUUAUUAGGGAAGAACAAAUGUGUAAGUAACUAUGCACGUCUUGACGGUACCUAAUCAGAAAGCCACGGCUAACUACGUG